UACGUAGGGUGCGAGCGUUAAUCGGAAUUACUGGGCGUAAAGCGUGCGCAGGCGGUUUUGUAAGCCAGAUGUGAAAUCCCCGGGCUCAACCUGGGAAUGGCAUUUGGGACUGCAAGGCUGGAGUGCGGCAGAGGAGACUGGAAUUCCUGGUGUAACAGUGAAUGCGUAGAUAUCAGGAGGAAUACCGAUGGCGAAGGCAGGUCUCUGGGCUGACACUGACGCUCAUGCACGAAAGCGUGGGAGCAAACAGG
rnacentral:rRNA from 1 species